GUGCUCACUUCGGCAGCAUAUAUACUAAAAUUGAAACGAUAGAGAACAUUAGCAUGGCCCCUGCACAAGGAUGACACACAAAUUUGUGAAGCAUUCCAUAUUUCU